rnacentral:rRNA from 1 species
GGGGAAUAUUGCACAAUGGGGGAAACCCUGAUGCAGCGACGCCGCGUGAGGGAAGAAGGUUUUCGGAUUGUAAACCUCUGUCCUCUGUGACGAUAAUGACGGUAGCAGAGGAGGAAGCCACGGCUAACUACGUGCCAGCAGCCGCGGUAAUACGUAGGUGGCAAGCGUUGCCCGGAAUUACUGGGUGUAAAGGGAGCGUAGGCGGGAAUGCAAGUUAGAUGUGAAAUACCAGGGCUCAACCCUGGGGCUGCAUCUAAAACUGCAUUUCUUGAGUGAAGUAGAGGCAAGUGGAAUUCCUAGUGUAGCGGUGAAAUGCGUAAAUAUUAGGAGGAACACCAGUGGCGAAGGCGACUUGCUGGGCUUUAACUGACGCUGAGGCUCGAAAGCGUGGGUAGCAAAC